CUCGCAUGUUGCAUAGAGAGGGACUCCCCUGUCACGGCCAAUUCUAUUUUUCUGCAACUACUCACGGAGAGGCCAACACCCCACCACUACUUUCUGUGGUAUAGCCCUCGGCCCAACACAUAGUUAGAGCCUCUCAAGCCGCUUGGCACUAGUAGGGCCUCACCUAUCACCAAUGAAGCUAAUUUCUUCACCGCUUGGUACUAGUCAGCAGCCAGUACCUACACAGAAACAUUCUAAAUCUCAAUUUUCCUUUGUAGUAUGUCUCAAGCUCCAGAAGGUGGAGACAAACUUUCACUCCCUCACUCCCCAACUAGGUCUGGUUCAACUUCCAGAAGACGAGAAUCUGUCAGUCCAUCAACAAUUAGAUCAUGGACCAUUCCGCGCAUACAGGCCGAACUAUGAAGAAGGAGCAUUCCAUUCCCGGCUGCUGCCAGGAAGGCGGAAUUGUUCAGAUUAAUGUAUGCGAACACCGGAGGUGAGGAAGGGUCUAGUGGCACCAGGAACAUGCCUGAUUUACAAACAAUGAUGGACACUCUUCUCUCCUCCAUGGGCCAGAUUAGGGAUCGGAUUGAUAGAUUGGAGGCGGGACAUACAACAACUGACCCACCUUUGACCAAUGCCAUGUCCCUAUGGCAAUCUUGCAGGGUAAUGUUGUGACUCCAGUAUCACAGUUAUAUACACUAAUGAUCACACCUGCCCAC